CCUACGGGAGGCAGCAGUGAGGAAUAUUGGUCAAGGGACGAGAGUCUGAACCAGCCAAGUAGCGUGAAGGAUGACUGCCCGAUGGGGUGUAAACUGCUGUUAUAAAGGAAUAAAACGAGGCACGUGUGCCUUGUUGCAUGUACGGUAUGAAUAAGGAAAGGCUAACGCCGUGCCAGCAGCCGCGGUAAUACGGAGGAUCCGAGCGUUAUCCGGAUUUAUUGGGUGUAAAGGGAGCGUAGAUGGGUUGUUAAGUAAGUUGUGAAAGUUUGCGGCUCAACCGUAAAAUUGCACUUGCUACUGGCAGUCUUGAUUCCAGUUGCGGUCGGCGCACUUCGUGGUGUCGCGG
rnacentral:rRNA from 1 species